UACGUAGGGUGCGAGCGUUGUCCGGAAUUACUGGGCGUAAAGAGCUCGUAGGUGGUUUGUCGCGUUGUUCGUGAAAACUCACAGCUCAACUGUGGGCGUGCGGGCGAUACGGGCAGACUGGAGUACUGCAGGGGAGACUGGAAUUCCUGGUGUAGCGGUGGAAUGCGCAGAUAUCAGGAGGAACACCGGUGGCGAAGGCGGGUCUCUGGGCCGAUACUGACGCUGAGGAGCGAAAGCGUGGGGAGCAAACAGG
rnacentral:rRNA from 1 species